CCUUCUUUAACAUUCACUUUGCUCCCCAACCUUCUCUUCCAUCUCUUCUUCCUCCUCAACACACUUAGGAAGAAGGGAGGGCUGAGAUCUUUGCAUGUGCCCAAUAAUCUUCUCCAUUGGUGAUCAAGAGGGAAGAUGUGAGGAGGUCAAAAUUGGAAUUCUCAAGAUUCUUCUAUUCCUGGUAAUGGAUGAUCCAAUGGUCCUCAAGCUUUCUGAGUGUUUUCUUCUUAUGCCAAAUGACCAUUUUGCCCCUGGGCAACUCAGAAUACAACUCAUGGAAGCAAAGUUGAUUGAUUAGCACCAAUGAUUGAUUGACUUCUUUUUCUAAUAUUAUUUCUAUCACUAUAACUUAUAUAUUUGCAUCUUUUUUUUCAUAAACAGUUAAACGAGAACAGGGUCAAAAUAACGAAAUCUGAUAAUGAUAAAAUUAUAUCUGAUUUUACAUUGGAAUCACAUGUGAUUACUGAACAAGGUCAAUGCAUGGAUGCACACGGGACUGGGCCCAUGGCCAAAGUCAUGCAUAAUCACAUGUAAGUUUAGUAUAAAUUCACAUGUGAUCAUUGAACAAGGUCAAUGCAUGGAUGCACAAGGGAUUGGGCCCAUGGCCAAAGUCGUGCAUAAUCACAUGUAAGUUUAGUAUAAAUUCACAUGUGAUUACUGAACAAGGUCAAUGCAUGGAUGCACAGGGGUUUGGUCCCAUGGUCGAAGUCAGUGCAUAAUCACAUGUAAGUUUAGUGUAAAAUCACAUGUGAUUUCAUCGUUCUCGUGAUGUCUUAUUUGGUCACCGUUUUCGUUUGAACCAGACACUUGUUUUGCUUUCUUAUAUGUUUUAGAUGGUUAUCAGGUAAUUUUCUCAUUACAAUGUCUUGUUUGGUAAUUAUCUUCAAUAAUUGUGAAUUAUAAUCCCUUUUUAUGUAAAACCUUAACGAUCUUUUUACUUUUACGACUGAAAAAUGUAGGCAUACGUCUCGUCUUUUCC